rnacentral:rRNA from 1 species
AGAGUUUGAUCCUGGCUCAGAACGAACGCUGGCGGCGUGCCUAACACAUGCAAGUCNAGGGAGAAAAGGGGCUUCGGCCCCUGAGUAAACCGGUGCACGGGCUGAGUAACACNUNGGUAACGUANNCUUGAGUCUGGGAUAACCAGUCGAAAGAUUGGCUAAUACCAGAUACNACUGCGGAGACUCUGGUCUCUGCAAUGAAAGAUGGCCUCUGUUUACAAGCUAUCACUCAUGGAUCGGCCUGCGCACCAUUANCUAGUUGGUGAGGUAAUGGCUCACCNAGGCUGAGAUGGUUAGCUGGUCUGAGAGGAUGGCCAGCCACACUGGGANUGAGACACGGNCCAGACUCCUACGGGAGGNANCAGUGGGGAAUAUUGCNCAAUGGGCGAAAGCCUGACGCAGCGACGCCGCGUGGGUGAUGAAGGCCUUCGGGUCGUAAAGCCCUGUCGGGAGGGAAGAAACAACCGAGCCUAAUACGCUCGGGAAUUGACGGUACCUCCUAAGGAAGCACCGGCUAACUCCGUGCCAGCAGCCGCGGUAAUACGGAGGGUGCAAGCGUUGUUCGGAAUCACUGGGCGUAAAGGGCGUGUAGGCGGUCUGCUAAGUCUGGUGUGAAAUCCCCCCGCUCAACGGGGGAACGGCGCCGGAUACUGGCAGACUUGAGUACCGGAGAGGAAGGUGGAAUUCCNGGUGUAGCGGUGAAAUGC